GGAGAGGUGUCCGAGUGGUCGAAGGUGAUUGACUCGAAAUCAAUUAUGCCGCAAGGCAUCGGGGGUUCGAAUCCCUCCCUCUCCGCCA
rnacentral:tRNA from 1 species